AUUAUAUAAUUUAUUAAAAAAAAAUUUUUGAAAUUUUUAUAUUUAAUUAAAUU
rnacentral:tRNA from 1 species